rnacentral:rRNA from 1 species
GACGAACGCUGGCGGCGUGCCUAACACAUGCAAGUCGAACGGAAAGUUAGCAAUAACUUUAGUGGCGAACGGGUGAGUAACGCGUGGGCAACCUGCCCUUCAGACGGGGACAACAUUCCGAAAGGAGUGCUAAUACCGGAUACGACCUUUAGACCGCAUGGUUUAAAGAAGAAAGGUGGCCUCGAUUUAUAAGCUACCGCUGAAGGAUGGGCCUGCGUCUGAUUAGCUAGUUGGUGGGGUAAAGGCCUACCAAGGCGACGAUCAGUAGCCGGUCUGAGAGGAUGAACGGCCACACUGGGACUGAGACACGGCCCAGACUCCUACGGGAGGCAGCAGUGGGGAAUCUUCCGCAAUGGGCGAAAGCCUGACGGAGCAACGCCGCGUGAGUGAAGAAGGUCUUCGGAUUGUAAAGCUCUGUUUAAAGGGACGAAUGGCAGAUCUGUGAAUAAUGAAUUUGCAUGACGGUACCCAAAGAAUAAGCACCGGCUAACUUCGUGCCAGCCGCCGCCGUAA